rnacentral:rRNA from 1 species
UUUACUAGAAUAUAGUUAUCCUACUUGGAUAACUGUGGCAAUUCUAGAGCUAAUACAUGCAAAAAAGCUCUGCCCGCAAGGAACGAGCGCAUUUAUUAGAAUAAAAACCAAUCGGGUUUCGGCCCGUAAUUUGGUGAAUCUGAAUAACUUUGCCAAUCGCACAGUCCUAGUACUGGCGAUGUAUCUUUCAAGUGUCUGCCUUAUCAACUUUCGAUGGUAGGUUAUACGCCUACCAUGGUAGUAACGGGUAACGGAGAAUAAGGGUUCGACUCCGGAGAGGGAGCCUGAGAAACGGCUACCACAUCCAAGGAAGGCAGCAGGCGCGCAAAUUACCCACUUCCAGAACGGAGAGGUAGUGACGAAAAAUAACGAGACAGUCCUCUUCGAGGUCUGUCAUCGGAAUGGGUACAAUUUAAAUCCUUUAACGAGGAUCUAUUGGAGGGCAAGUCUGGUGCCAGCAGCCGCGGUAAUUCCAGCUCCAAUAGCGUAUAUUAAAGUUGUUGCGGUUAAAACGCUCGUAGUUGGAUCUGCGGCCUCGGAGAACGGUCCCCCGAAAGGGCGGUCACUGUCUCUCCUAGCCUAAAGUCAAGUCGUCUCUAGGUGCUCUUUACCGAGUGCUUAGAGUGACUAGAACGUUUACUUUGAAAAAAUUAGAGUGCUUAAAGCAGGCGAAAUAGCCUGAAUAAGGUGCAUGGAAUAAUGGAAUAGGACCUCGGUUCUAUUUUGUUGGUUUUCGGAACCUGAGGUAAUGAUUAAGAGGAACAGACGGGGGCAU